AGAAACUUAAGUUAACAAAACUAAGAGCCUUCAAAGCCCUAAAUAGGCACCCACCACCCCUAGUUUCUG
rnacentral:tRNA from 1 species